CUCAUAUCUCCUCUAAAGAACCAGCCAUCGUUACCUUUUAGAUAUCAUUAUCUCACUAGCAGUAACUUUUUCAGGUUUAGUUUUUGGAGUGAGAGCAUAAAGAAAACUGGUUAUGUUUGUGUCUAAUUGGUUGGCUCUUUGGAAAGGAAGAAGGUUCCCUUGAAGAAGAGAGAAGACUAGGACUACAGUACCAUGCAUGAACUGGGGAUGCUCUCUGGAGGGAGAGAGGAGCCACAGGUGGUGUUGUGUUGGGCAGCUCUGACGCAGACAUUGCAGAAAUCUCCAGUGAUUUCUUUGCAACAUACUCAAACUAAACCCCGGUCCAGGACCCCCACUCUUGUGGCAUGUAUUUUGCCUGGUAGCAAGCAUGAACAGCUUUGGAAUCUGAACCCUGGAGUUGAAUCCCACCUCCACUAAUGGGUGGGUUGUAUUACC
rnacentral:lncRNA from 1 species